rnacentral:lncRNA from 1 species
AUGAUCAGCUCCUACCCCAACCCUCCCCCAGCUUCCUCCCUGACUGACCUGGUGACUCACUACAAUAACUGCCUCUCCUCCUCCCUCACCACCCUGGCCCCCCUGAAAACCCGCUCAGUCUCAUUCACCCACACUGCUCCCUGGUUCACUCCUCAUCUGCGCCAGCUCAAAGCCACUGGUCGUCGACUGGAGCGACUCUACAAUAAGACAAAACUCACUGUACACCGCCAAAUGUAUUCGGACCACCUCCAUCACUACAAGAAUGCCCUCACCACUGCCAAAACCUCAUACUACUCCAACCUCAUCAACACUGGUACAGGCAACAGCAGAGUCCUCUUCUCAACAGUCAACCACUUACUUCAGCCUCCUAAAUCUCUCCCUCCAGAUAUUUCCACCACCCAAUGCACUGCGUUCCUUGACUUCUUCAGCUCUAAAAUCAACACCAUUCACCAACAACUGGCCUCAUCUCGCACCCCCUCUGAUGACCCACCCUGGAUGAUCACCUCUGGCCAACCUCUCAUCAGCUCCCUCUCUGACUUCACCCUAGUAACAGAACAGACCGUCUCAGAACUCAUCCGCAAAGCCAAAACCACCACCUGUCAGCUCGAUCCUCUUCCCACCUCCCUUGUCAAAGCAUGUCUUCCGUCCAUCUCCCCCAUGAUCACCAACAUAAUUAACUCCUCCCUCACUACUGGUACUGUACCCCUCACUCUCAAGCUGGCUGCCAUCACUCCCAUCCUGAAAAAACCUGGUGCUGACCCAUCUGACCUUAACCAUUACCGGCCCAUCUCCAAUCUCCCUUUCAUCUCCAAAACACUUGAAAGGGUGGUUGCCGCACAACUACAGUCCCACCUCGACAUUAACAAUCUCCACGAACCGUUCCAAUCUGGCUUCCGUCCAAAACACAGCACUGAAACAGCCCUAGUCAAAAUCACCAACGACCUCCUCCUUGCAGCCGACUCUGGAUUACUCACCAUUCUCAUCCUCUCAGCGCAGCAUUCGACACCAUCUCCCACCCUCUGCUCCUGGACCGCCUAG